rnacentral:rRNA from 1 species
UACAGAGGGUGCGAGCGUUAAUCGGAAUUACUGGGCGUAAAGCGUGCGUAGACGGUUGCAUAAGUCGGAUGUGAAAUCCCCGGGCUCAACCUGGGAAUUGCAUUCGAGACUGUGUAGCUGGGGUGCGGAAGAGGGAAGCGGAAUUUCCGGUGUAGCGGUGAAAUGCGUAGAUGUCGGAAGGAACACCAGUGGCGAAAGCGGCUUCCUGGUCCAGCACCGACGUUCAGGCACGAAAGCGUGGGGAGCAAACAGG